UACGGGGGGAGCAAGCGUUGUUCGGAUUUACUGGGCGUAAAGGGCGCGUAGGCGGCCACGACAAGUCACUUGUGAAAUCUCCGGGCUUAACUCGGAACGGUCAAGUGAUACUGUCGGGCUAGAGUGCAGAAGGGGCAACUGGAAUUCUCGGUGUAGCGGUGAAAUGCGUAGAUAUCGAGAGGAACACCUGCGGCGAAGGCGGGUUGCUGGGCUGACACUGACGCUGAGGCGCGGAAGCCAGGGGAGCGAACGGG
rnacentral:rRNA from 1 species